rnacentral:rRNA from 1 species
ACUCAAAGGAAUUGACGGGAACCCGCACAAGCGGUGGAGCAUGUGGUUCAAUUCGACAAUAAGCGAGGAACCUUACCAGGUCUUGAAAUGUAGCUGCACGCCUUGGGAAACCGAGGAAGCCUUCGAGGGUGCUACACAGGUGCUGCAUGGCUGUCGUCAGCUCGUGGCGUGAGCUGUUGGGUUAAGUCCUCUAACGAGCGCAACCCCUGCGAUGUGUUACAGCUUCACAUCGAACUGCCCCGGAGAACGGGGAGGAAGGAAGGGAUGACGUCAAGUCAGCAUGGUCCUCUGAUGACCUGGGCCACACACGUGCUACAAUGGGACGGACAAAGGGUCGCCAAGUCGCAAGAUGGAGCUAAUCCCAUCAAACCGUCCCCCAGUUCAGAUUGGGGGCUGCAACUCGCCCCCAUGAAGUCGGAAUCGCUAGUAACCGCGCAUCAGCCAUGGUGCGGUGAAUACGUUCUCGGGUUUUGUACACACCGCCCGU